AUGGGUAUGGGCAGUGGCUGGGAGCUGAAACCCAAGCUUCAGAUGACAGACACAGGGAGAGUACUGGAGUUGGCUGUUGGAGAAAGCCUGAAGGGGCUGGAGUGUGGUCCCAUGGAGGAAAAGGAAGAUGCAGAUGUCCAGGCAGACAUGUACACAAUAUGUCCAUGUUAUAUGUCAGAAAUGAGCUUAGAGAACUUUUGUGCUUAUAAGGGAGCUGAUAGCAAAUAUACUCAGUCUUUGUUCUGGAGGGAGCCAUUACUUUUAUUUUUUGGACAGCAAAACUUGAUAUGUCCUCUUAAGAAUAAGAGCUCUUCCACUGGAGGCCUACACGCCGCCACCCGCGCUGCAGCCCUGUCUCUAGUAAUCCUUGAGAAGUUCCAGCACAUUUUGCGAGUACUCAACACCACCAUUGAUGGGUGGCAGAAAAUUGCCUUUGCUACCACUGCGAUUAAGGGUGUAGGACGGAGAUAUGCUCACGUGGUGUUGAGGAAAGCAGACAUUGACCUCACCAAGAGGGCAGGAGAGCUCACAGAGGAUGAGGUGGAACAUGUAAUCACCAUUAUGCAGAAUCCAGGCCAAUACAAGAUUCCAGACUGGUUCUUAAAUAGACAGAAGGAUGUGAAGGAUGGGAAGUACAGCCAGGUCCUGGCCAACGGUCUGGAUAACAAACUCCAUGAAGACGUGGAGCGACUGAAGAAGAUUCGGGCCCACAGAGGGCUGCGCCACUUCUGGGGACUGCGUGUCGGAGGCCAGCACACCAAGACCACAGGCCGCCGUGGCCACACCGUGGGUGUGUCCAAGAAGAAAUAAAUGUGUCGGUGCUGCCUGUUAAUAAAUAGUUUA